rnacentral:RNase_P_RNA from 10 species
AAUGGAAGAUGAUCGAGCGGUAACGUUAGGAAAGUCCAUACUAACACAGACUUUUAUAGUUUGUAGUGUUUGUGUCUAAGGAAAAAAUAACUUAGAGUAUCGAAAGAUAACGGCGAAUUCAGUGUCUAAGGGAAACUAUGAUACUAAUUUGUAAAGUGCCACAGUGACGAAUCAUUUAGAAAUAAAUGGGUGAAACGAGGUAAACCCCACAAGUUAGAAACCCAAAUUUUGGUAGGGGAACAUUGAUUUUUGAGAAAAAAUUGAUGCUACAAUUUUGUAGAGAUAAAUGAUCAUACCUAUUUAUAGGAACAGAAUAUGGCUUAUGCAC